rnacentral:rRNA from 2 species
UGGGGGAUAUUGCACAAUGGGCGAAAGCCUGAUGCAGCGACGCCGCGUGGGGGAUGAAGGCUUUCGGGUUGUAAACCUCUUUCGCUAUCGAACAAGGCCCGCUUAGGGUGGGUUGAGGGUAGGUGGAGAAGAAGCGCCGGCUAACUACGUGCCAGCAGCCGCGGUAAUACGUAGGGCGCGAGCGUUGUCCGGAAUUAUUGGGCGUAAAGGGCUUGUAGGCGGCUUGUUGCGCCUGCUGUGAAAACGCGGGGCUUAACUUCGCGCGUGCAGUGGGUACGGGCAGGCUUGAGUGUGGUAGGGGUGACUGGAAUUCCAGGGGUAGCGGUGGAAUGCGCAGAUAUCUGGAGGAACACCGAUGGCGAAGGCAGGUCACUGGGCCAUUACUGACGCUGAGGAGCGAAAGCAUGGGUAGCGAACAGG